GAUGAACGCUGGCGGCGUGCUUAACACAUGCAAGUCGAACGAUGAAGCCCAGCUUGCUGGGUGGAUUAGUGCGAACGGGUGAGUAACACGUGAGUAACCUGCCCUUGACUCUGGGAUAAGCCUGGGAAACUGGGUCUAAUACUGGAUAUGACUUCUCAUCGCAUGGUGGGGGGUGGAAAGAUUUAUUGGUCUUGGAUGGACUCGCGGCCUAUCAGCUUGUUGGUGAGGUAAUGGCUCACCAAGGCGACGACGGGUAGCCGGCCUGAGAGGGUGACCGGCCACACUGGGACUGAGACACGGCCCAGACUCCUACGGGAGGCAGCAGUGGGGAAUAUUGCACAAUGGGCGCAAGCCUGAUGCAGCGACGCCGCGUGAGGGAUGACGGCCUUCGGGUUGUAAACCUCUUUCAGUAGGGAAGAAGCGAGAGUGACGGUACCUGCAGAAGAAGCGCCGGCUAACUACGUG
rnacentral:rRNA from 1 species